rnacentral:rRNA from 1 species
CCUACGGGAGGCAGCAGUGGGGAAUUUUGGACAAUGGGCGCAAGCCUGAUCCAGCUAUUCCGCGUGUGUGAAGACGGCCUUCGGGUUGUAAACCACUUUUGUAGAGAACGAAAAGUCUAUUGAUAAUACCGAUAGACGAUGACGGUACUCUAAGAAUAAGCACCGGCUAAAUACGUACCAGCAGCCGCGGUAAUACGUAGGGUGCGAGCGUUAAGCGCAAUUACUGGGCGUAAAGGGUGUGCAGGCGGUUUUGCAAGAUGGGUGUGAAAGCCCCGGGCUUAACCUGGGAAAGACAUACAUGACGGAAAGACUAGAGGGCGUAAGAGGGGGGUGGAAUUCCAAGGGUAGCAGGGAAAGGCGUGGAUAUUUGGAAGAACACCGAUGGCGAAGGCAGCCACCUGGGACGCAACUGACGCUAAGACACGAAAGGGUGGGGAGCAAACAGGAUUAGAAACCCCUGUAGUC